rnacentral:rRNA from 1 species
CAUGCGAGUCGUGGGCACCCCCUCUUAUGAGGGGGAGACCCGGCGGACGGCUCAGUAACACGUGGCUAACCUACCCUCGGGUCCGGGAUAACCCCGGGAAACUGGGGAUAAUACCGGAUAGGCCUCUGAUACCUGGAAUGGGCGGAGGCCGAAAGCCGGUAGGCGCCCGAGGAUGGGGCUGCGGCCGAUUAGGUAGUUGUCGGUUUAACGGACCGACAAGCCUACGAUCGGUACGGGCCGUGAGAGCGGGAGCCCGGAGAUGGGCUCUGAGACAAGAGCCCAGGCCCUACGGGGCGCAGCAGGCGCGAAACCUUCACAAUGCCCGAAAGGGCGAUGAGGGGACGCUGAGUGCCCUUUGGGGCUGUUCGGGUGCCUAAAAAGCACCCGGAGUAAGGGCUGGGUAAGACCGGUGCCAGCCGCCGCGGUAAUACCGGCAGCCCGAGUGGUGGCCGCGUUUAUUGGGCCUAAAGGGUCCGUAGCCGGUCGGGUAAGUUCCUCGGGAAACCUCGCCGCUCAACGGUGAGGCUUCCGGGGAAUACUGCCUGACUUGGGACCGGGA